rnacentral:rRNA from 1 species
UACAGAGGGUGCAAGCGUUAAUCGGAGUUACUGGGCGUAAAGGGCGCGUAGGCGGUUAAUUAAGUUUGAUGUGAAAUCCCUGGGCUUAACCUAGGAACUGCAUUGAAGACUGGAUAACUGGAGUACUGUAGAGGGUAGUGGAAUUUCCGGUGUAGCGGUGAAAUGCGUAGAGAUCGGAAGGAACACCAGUGGCGAAGGCGGCUACCUGGACAGAUACUGACGCUGAGGCGCGAGAGCGUGGGGAGCAAACAGG